rnacentral:rRNA from 1 species
UGGGUGAUCUGCCCUGCACUUUGGGAUAAGCCUGGGAAACUGGGUCUAAUACCGAAUACACCUUGCUGGCCGCAUGGUCUGGUGGGGGAAAGCUUUUGCGGUGUGGGAUGGGCCCGCGGCCUAUCAGCUUGUUGGUGGGGUGAUGGCCUACCAAGGCGACGACGGGUAGCCGGCCUGAGAGGGUGUCCGGCCACACUGGGACUGAGACACGGCCCAGACUACUACGGGGAGCA